rnacentral:rRNA from 1 species
AUUGAACGCUGGCGGCAGGCCUAACACAUGCAAGUCGAACGGUAACAGGAAGCAGCUUGCUGCUUUGCUGACGAGUGGCGGACGGGUGAGUAAUGUCUGGGAAACUGCCCGAUGGAGGGGGAUAACUACUGGAAACGGUAGCUAAUACCGCAUAACGUCGCAAGACCAAAGAGGGGGACCUUAGGGCCUCUUGCCAUCGGAUGUGCCCAGAUGGGAUUAGCUAGUAGGUGGGGUAACGGCUCACCUAGGCGACGAUCCCUAGCUGGUCUGAGAGGAUGACCAGCCACACUGGAACUGAGACACGGUCCAGACUCCUACGGGAGGCAGCAGUGGGGAAUAUUGGACAAUGGGCGCAAGCCUGAUGCAGCCAUGCCGCGUGUAUGAAGAAGGCCUUCGGGUUGUAAAGUACUUUCAGCGGGGAGGAAGGGAGUAAAGUUAAUACCUUUGCUCAUUGACGUUACCCGCAGAAGAAGCACCGGCUAACUCCGUG